rnacentral:rRNA from 1 species
CCUACGGGCGGCUGCAGUGAGGAAUAUUGGUCAAUGGACGAGAGUCUGAACCAGCCAAGUAGCGUGAAGGAUGAAUGCCCUAUGGGUUGUAAACUUCUUUUAUCUGGGAAUAAAAUGUUCCACGUGUGGGAUUUUGUAUGUACCUUAUGAAUAAGGAUCGGCUAACUCCGUGCCAGCAGCCGCGGUAAUACGGAGGAUCCGAGCGUUAUCCGGAUUUGUUGGGUUUAAAGGGAGCGUAAGUGGGUUGUUAAGUCAGGUGUGAAAGUUGUCGGCUCAACCGUAAAAGUGCAGUUGAAACUGGCGGUCUUGAGUACAGUAGAGGUGGGGGGAAUUCGUGGUGUAGCGGUGAAAUGCAUAGAUAUCACGAAGAACUCCGAUUGCGAAGGCAGCACACUGGACUGCAACUGACGCUGAGGCUCGAAAGUGUGGGUAUCGAACAGGAUUAGAUACCCUAGUAGUC